CUUCAACGACCCGAUCCACAGGGGCCGGUCGGGAUCCCGCUCCUGCCCGUAGGUGGCGAGCACCGCCUGCGCCUC
rnacentral:antisense_RNA from 1 species